CCUACGGGUGGCAGCAGUGAGGAAUAUUGGUCAAUGGGCUUACGCCUGAACCAGCCAAGUCGCGUGAGGGAAGACUGCCCUAUGGGUUGUAAACCUCUUUUGUCAGGGAGCAACGCCGGCUACGUGUAGCCGGUCUGAGAGUACCUGCAGAAAAAGCACCGGCUAACUCCGUGCCAGCAGCCGCGGUAAUACGGGGGAUGCGAGCGUUAUCCGGAUUUAUUGGGUUUAAAGGGUGCGUAGGCGGAAUGCCAAGUCAGCGGUAAAAUCCCGGGGCUCAACCUCGCUCCGCCGUUGAAACUGGCGGUCUUGAGUGGGCGAGAGGUAUGCGGAAUGCGUGGUGUAGCGGUGAAAUGCAUAGAUAUCACGCAGAACUCCGAUUGCGAAGGCAGAAUACCGGAGCCCAACUGACGCUGAGGCACGAAAGCGUGGGUAUCGAACAGGAUUAGAUACCCUUGUAGUC
rnacentral:rRNA from 1 species